UCUCUAGUAUCUAUUGCUUUUUAAGGUUGAGGAUAUUGGACAAAGGUAUGAUGUCUAGUCUUAGAGAGUUUAACAAUUGCUAACUAUAAAUCAUUAGAAAUGAUUGCCGAAGGAGAGGAUUUCUAUCACUAUCCUUAACAAAUUGAAGUUUGAGUUAAUGCCCAGAAAAUUCGCAAAGAGGAUUCAAGUGAUAAAUGGAGAAGGAGAGGAUUUCUACAAAGUCCAACUUGGUGCCUUCUAUCUCAUUACUUGGCCAUCCCAUAUAUGAAGAGAGAAGGAGCAACCACUGAAUGAAAAACUUACUGAUGGAUUUCAUCCAAUAGGCCCUGAUGGUGAAGUAAUGCUAAAUGGCAGCAGUGACUUGUGAGCAGCCAGCCUAAUUGGGAAAUUAGUGUAGUCCUCCACCUUUCACUGCUUCAUGCCCAGUACUCUUUUACUAAGUAGAAUGCUUGCGGUGGUAGAUGAAAUUCAACUGUCUGUGAUCUGAAAACAAUGUUCUCUCUCUCUCUUUUUUUUUUUCUCCUCUUAAUAGUUGGUGUGUUUCCAUAAAACCUUUGCUAGUUUUCUUGAUGUCGGGAUUGUUUUUGGAAGGUUCAGAUUGUGCUUUUUUGUGAUGCUUCAUUGUCCUGUUGUGUACAAUAAAAGUGGUUGUUUCAAUGCAAUUUCCCUU